AGACCGAUAGCAAACAAGUACGGUGACGGAAGAUUGAAAAGAACUUUGAAGAGAGAGUUCAAUAGUACGUGAAACUGUGUGGUGGUAAACGGAGGGGUUCUCGAAGUUUCUGUAGGGUACUCAGCCUUGGAGUUGGGCGGUCUGGUGGUAUCCGAUCAGCAAUGACGGUGCUGCUAGUCUGGCUUGGCUCACGGGUGCAUUUCCCCUGCAGUUUACGGCAGGAACUGUUUAGAGCAGACCUAAGGCUCUGGGUGAAGUUGGAGGCCUAGCUUUCAGCCCUGGAUGUUCUGGCUUUGCACUAGACAGGUACUUGAGGAGACUCGUAUAGCGAGCAAUGCUCUGUUGCGGUUUCCAUCUCUCUGCCGAGUAGGUCGGUGGCCCCUCCGACCCGUCUUGAAACACGGAC
rnacentral:rRNA from 2 species